UACGGGGGGGGCAAGCGUUGUUCGGAAUUACUGGGCGUAAAGGGCUCGUAGGCGGCCAACUAAGUCGGACGUGAAAUCCCUCGGCUUAACCGGGGAACUGCGUCCGAUACUGGAUGGCUUGAGUUCGGGAGAGGGAUGCGGAAUUCCAGGUGUAGCGGUGAAAUGCGUAGAUAUCUGGAGGAACACCGGUGGCGAAGGCGGCAUUCUGGACCGACACUGACGCUGAGGAGCGAAAGCCAGGGGAGCAAACGGG
rnacentral:rRNA from 1 species